UGAGUGUGUGAUAGUUUCUAAGAAGUAUAUCUGAAAGGUUUGAAAGUUAUUAGGAAAAGUAGUUUGAAGGAGCAAAGACAAGUAGAAAAGUUGAAAGUUAAAGAAAUGUUUUUUUCAGAAUUAAAGUAGAAGGUUUUUGGUGCGCUCGCAACAGAAAGCCAUGCUUACAGGCCUGGGCUUUCCCUUAUUAUGGUAAAUUGACGCAUUGGAAAGUCCAUGCGUCAAGAGGGGGGAUGGGGAGCCCACAACAACAACCUUGGGUAUACCAAAGCAAACCAAAUAAUUACUCAAGAAAAAAAAAAAUGAAACAAACCCCAUGUAGGUCCCUCAGAGACAUCAUGAAGGACAAUGGGAAAGAGAAGAAGAAUAACGUUUAAAUUUUGGGUUAUACUGUGUAUUAUUAUCACUGACUGGAUUGACAAUCAAUGUUUAGAGUAGUAAACAUUAAGUGCUUGCCAACUACUCAUGUGUUUGCAUCACGGAAGCAGCAUUAAGGACAAAUCAAAUAAGAAUAUUUUUUGUUUGGAAAUGUUUUUAAAAGGUAGCCUUGUUUCUUUGUUUUAGUUUAUUUUUGGUUUUUAUUUUUAUGACUUUUGAAUAUAUGGAAACAGAUGACUUGAUUGUGAUGUUAGGUGAUUUUAUGCUACCUUCUGUAAAAGCGAACGGUGGUAUAAAUAUCUGUACUUGGAGGCCAUGGUUGGACAUAGUAGAUUAUGAACAUAUGCAUGUUGUGAUUAAGUGAUCAUUUUAAUCCUAAAGGUUGCAUCAUUUUGUGAUUAUUAAAUAAUCAAAGGGGGGAUUGUGAUGGAAAAUCUACAUGUUGUAUUGUUUUGGUCUAUAUGAAUUUAAGUUUUGUUGCUAUUCUGUGUAAUUUUAUAUAGUGUCUGCCUUCUGCUCUCCUUUUGGGUCAUUUAAAGUGUGAACGUUC